rnacentral:rRNA from 1 species
GAUAAGCGCCGGUAAGGUGAUAUGAACCGUUAUAACCGGCGAUACCCGAAUGGGGAAACCCAGUGUGACUCGUCACACUAUCAUUAACUGAAUCCAUAGGUUAAUGAGGCGAACCGGGGGAACUGAAACAUCUAAGUACCCCGAGGAAAAGAAAUCAACCGAGAUUCCCCCAGUAGCGGCGAGCGAACGGGGAGGAGCCCAGAGCCUGAAUCAGCAUGUGUGUUAGUGGAAGCGUCUGGAAAGGCGCGCGAUACAGGGUGACAGCCCCGUACACAAAAGCGCAUGUGCUGUGAGCUCGAUGAGUAGGGCGGGACACGUGGUAUCCUGUCUGAAUAUGGGGGGACCAUCCUCCAAGGCUAAAUACUCCUGACUGACCGAUAGUGAACCAGUACCGUGAGGGAAAGGCGAAAAGAACCCCGGCGAGGGGAGUGAAAAAGAACCUGAAACCGUGUACGUACAAGCAGUGGGAGCCCCACCACUAAGCCAGUGGUGAACUCCACAUACGCAUCCUUUGCUGAAGGCAAUGGUUGGCGGAGCGUAAGCGACGCCCAACACAAAAAACAAGCAGAGGGGGCUUAGUGGUGGGGUGACUGCGUACCUUUUGUAUAAUGGGUCAGCGACUUAUAUUCUGUAGCAAGGUUAACCGCAUAGGGGAGCCGGAGGGAAACCGAGUCUUAAUUGGGCGUUAAGUUGCAGGGUAUAGACCCGAAACCCGGUGAUCUAGCCAUGGGCAGGUUGAAGGUUGGGUAACACUAACUGGAGGACCGAACCGACUAAUGUUGAAAAAUUAGCGGAUGACCUGUGGCUGGGGGUGAAAGGCCAAUCAAACCGGGAGAUAGCUGGUUCUCCCCGAAAGCUAUUUAGGUAGCGCCUCGUGAAUUCAUCUCCGGGGGUAGAGCACUGUUUCGGCUAGGGGGCCAUCCCGGCUUACCAACCCGAUGCAAACUGCGAAUACCGGAGAAUGUUAUCACGGGAGACACACGGCGGGUGCUAACGUCCGUCGUGAAGAGGGAAACAACCCAGACCGCCAGCUAAGGUCCCAAAGUCAUGGUUAAGUGGGAAACGAUGUGGGAAGGCCCAGACAGCCAGGAUGUUGGCUUAGAAGCAGCCAUCAUUUAAAGAAAGCGUAAUAGCUCACUGGUCGAGUCGGCCUGCGCGGAAGAUGUAACGGGGCUAAACCAUGCACCGAAGCUGCGGCAGCGAACGUAUCACUUAAAGCGAUUCAGCGGGUUACGAUUGACGGAGCGAAGCGACGUCAAAGCGUAUACAAAGUCGAGUCGGUUUAAGGAUACGUUCGUUGGGUAGGGGAGCGUUCUGUAAGCCUGUGAAGGUGGCCUGUGAGGGUUGCUGGAGGUAUCAGAAGUGCGAAUGCUGACAUAAGUAACGAUAAAGCGGGUGAAAAGCCCGCUCGCCGGAAGACCAAGGGUUCCUGUCCAACGUUAAUCGGGGCAGGGUGAGUCGACCCCUAAGGCGAGGCCGAAAGGCGUAGUCGAUGGGAAACGGGUUAAUAUUCCCGUACUUGGUGUUACUGCGAAGGGGGGACGGAGAAGGCUAUGUUGGCCGGGCGACGGUUGUCCCGGUUUAAGCGUGUAGGUGUGUGUUCCAGGUAAAUCCGGUUCACUUUAACACUGAGGCGUGAUGACGAGGCACUACGGUGCUGAAGCAACAAAUGCCCUGCUUCCAGGAAAAGCCUCUAAGCAUCAGGUAACAUCAAAUCGUACCCCAAACCGACACAGGUGGUCAGGUAGAGAAUACCAAGGCGCUUGAGAGAACUCGGGUGAAGGAACUAGGCAAAAUGGUGCCGUAACUUCGGGAGAAGGCACGCUGACAC